UUGGGAAUAUUGGACAAUGGGCGAAAGCCUGAUCCAGCGACACCGCGUGGAGGAAGACGGCCUUCGGGUUGUAAACUCCUUUUCCCUGGGACGAUUAUGACGGUACCAGGGGAAUAAGCACCGGCUAACUACGUGCCAGAAGCCUCGGUGAUACGUAGGGUGCAAGCGCUAUCCGGAAUUACUGGGCGUAAAGGGCCUGUAGGUGGCUUUGUUCGUUCCGCGUUUAAUCUCCAGGCUUAACUUGGAGUCUGCGCGGAAGACAGCAAAGCUCGAGUCUGGCAGGGGUCAGUGGAAUUAGCGGUGUAGGGGUGAAAUCCGUUGAUAUCGCUAAGAACACCAAUGGCGAAGGCAGCUGACUAGGCCAGUACUGACACUCAGGGGCGAAAGCGUGGGGAGCGAACAGG
rnacentral:rRNA from 1 species